GACGAACGCUGGCGGCGUGCUUAACACAUGCAAGUCGAACGGAAAGGCCCUGCUUUUGUGGGGUGCUCGAGUGGCGAACGGGUGAGUAACACGUGAGUAACCUGCCCUUGACUUUGGGAUAACUUCAGGAAACUGGGGCUAUUAUCGGAUAGGAGCUCCUGCUGCAUGGUGGGGGUUGGAAAGUUUCGGCGGUUGGGGAUGGACUAGCGGCUUAUCAGCUUGUUGGUGGGGUAGUGGCUUACAAAGGCUUUGACGGGUAGCCGGCCUGAGAGGGUGGCCGGCCACAUUGGGACUGAGAGACGGCCCAGACUCCAACGGGAGGCAGCAGUGGGAAAUAUUGCACAAUGGGCGGAAGCCUGAUGCAGCGGCGCCGCGUGCGGGAUGACGGCCUUCGGGUUGUAAACCGCUUUCGCCUGUGACGAAGCGUGAGUGACGGUAAUGGGUAAAGAAGCACCGGCUAACUACGUG
rnacentral:rRNA from 1 species